GGUGUCCUACGGGACGCAGCAGUGAGGAAUAUUGGUCAAUGGUCGGGAGACUGAACCAGCCACGCCGCGUGAGGGAUGAAGGUACAGAGUAUCGUAACCCUCUUUUGUCAGGGAACAAAGGCGGGGACGCGUCCCCGGAUGAGUGUACCUGAAGAAAAAGCAUCGGCUAACUCCGUGCCAGCAGCCGCGGUAAUACGGAGGAUGCGGGCGUUAUCCGGAUUUAUUGGGUUUAAAGGGUGCGCAGGCGGUCUGUUAAGUCAGCGGUCAAAGCCCGGGGCUCACCCCCGGCCCGCCGUUGAAACUGG
rnacentral:rRNA from 1 species